UCCAGACUCCUACGGGAGGCAGCAGUGAGGAAUAUUGGUCAAUGGGCGAGAGCCUGAACCAGCCAAGUCGCGUGAGGGAGUACUGCCCUAUGGGUUGUAAACCUCUUUUGUCGGGGUGCAAAAGCCGGACGUGUCCGGCUGUGAGAGUACCCGAAGAAAAGGCAUCGGCUAACUCCGUGCCAGCAGCCGCGGUAAUACGGAGGAUGCGAGCGUUAUCCGGAUUUAUUGGGUUUAAAGGGUGCGCAGGCGGAGGUGCAAGUCAGCGGUCAAAUUGCGGGGCUCAACCCCGUACUGCCGUUGAAACUGGCGGCCUCGAGUGGGCGAGAAGUAUGCGGAAUGCGUGGUGUAGCGGUGAAAUGCAUAGAUAUCACGCAGAACUCCGAUUGCGAAGGCAGCAUACCGGCGCCCGACUGACGCUGAGGCACGAAAGCGUGGGUAUCGAACAGGAUUAGAUACCCUGGUACC
rnacentral:rRNA from 1 species